rnacentral:rRNA from 1 species
UACAGAGGGUGCAAGCGUUGUUCGGAAUUAUUGGGCGUAAAGGGCGCGUAGGCGGUGCGGUAAGUCUGCAGUGAAAUCUCUGGGCUCAACUCAGAGUCUGCUGUAGAAACUGCCGUGCUUGAGUGUGGGAGAGGUGAGUGGAAUUCCCGGUGUAGCGGUGAAAUGCGUAGAUAUCAGGAGGAACACCGGUGGCGAAGGCGGUUCGCUGGGCCGUAGCUGACGCUGAGGCGCGACAGCGUGGGGGAGCAAACAGG